GAUGAUGAUGGUGACGGUGAUGAUGUCAAUAAGAACACACCACCAUUGUUUCCCAUGGGAUGGCAAAACCACUGUGCCCCGGGUGACACAGCUGACACUUGCCUAGGAAGGGAUGAAGUGUGACUGCCCCAUUCCAGCUACCUGGAAGAAGAAACACUUAGCCCCUCUGUUUCCCUGAAUACCCAGAUGGAUGGUUACAACUUGAGAAUGACUUCAGCCCCUGGCAAGAUCAUUUCAUACUGUUCAGAAUCCGCUCUACCCCCCGCAGGGCAGAGGAAAAAAAUAGCUCUUUCUGUUUUUCCCUCAAGGUGAGAAAUCAUAAAAUGAAGAUAGAGACAGAAUAACACCACUAGAAAAAUACAGGCAAGAGCUUGGGGACUCUCAGCCUGACAAUUUAGCUUUAGAGAUGAAGUGGGAGAAGGACACUAGGUGGUGGUUGUCUUGAGAAGAGGGAGGAAGGAAUGAGCGGAGGUGACAGAGUGGGGGAGACAGCCACCUGGAUCGCUGUGCCCAGACCCCUGUGUGAGCCUAGGGAGGUUUGACUGUGGAAUCCGUCAGUCAUGGCAGGAGGGGCCUGGCAGAAAGUAAGAACACGCUGAGGGAGGAUGGUAUGAUGGGAAGCAGAGUAUCUUUGAAGACAGAAGCCCUGGGUUUGUUAUUUAUUUUAUGCAUUCAGUAAAGCAUUAUGGAGAGCUCACUAGGAGUCAGGCAUGGUGGUGGUGCUGGGGACACAGAGGCUAAUAUGAUCAGGUCCAUGGAAUGAAGGAACAUCCAGUCUCCUGGGAAGCAGAUUCUACAGCAGCCUGCUCUGAUAAGUCCUGCGAGGUCUACAGAGUUGGGCAGGUCAGAAGGUGCAGAAGCAGCAGUGGCAAAGACUGUGUCUGAAUCUGAAAUGUGAGUAGGUUUUGAUCUCAAUGAACAUGUUCCAAAAGAGACUCUGGAAGUAUAGCACAGAAUGAGCAAAGCCACGGUACUAACAAACAGCACAAGACACACGAGGACGAUGGCAGAUUCACAGCAUUGAAGUGUCGUGGUGUGAACUAAUAAAUACAAUCAGUAGGAGUGUAAGUAUAGGUUAUAGAUUAGUAAAAAUAUAGCUUAUAGAUAUGAUAAGUGAGGUAAGACAAUCAUAAAGCAAGAACCGUCAUAGACAAGGCUAAGACUCCACUUUGCUUCCUUCUGUAAAAAAACUGUUACAAGAGCUGCUUCUGAGAAACCGAAAUGAAAGCUGUUUUCUUAUAUUGUUUUCUGUACUUUGUACCCCACAAAAUGUACUCAACCCAAGUUAUGGUGGUCUUGGUGACCCAAAACUUGGAAGUAGAUUCCCGCCCCUGCUAACCACUUGCUGGAACUCGGGAUACAGUUGUUUAACACCUGCUUGGACUAAGAUGUGCUUAACUGAGUUUCAUAGCUGACUGCUUUUCUCUAGCUUCCGUGAUUGGCUUGCUUGCACUAAGGAAAGGCCCUGAGUUAUGGUUUUCGUCUUUAAGUUCCCAGGACACAGGCCAGGAAGUUGCUGUUCUCCCACAGAGCUUUAGUCUCUAUGGGUGGGUGAAAUCCCUGGCCAGGCAAAUAAAGCUCUCAGUGACUUAAA